UACGUAGGGGGCAAGCGUUGUCCGGAAUCAUUGGGCGUAAAGAGCGUGUAGGCGGCUUGGUAAGUCCGCUGUGAAAGUCCAGGGCUCAACCCUGGAAUGCCGGUGGAAACUGUCAAGCUUGAGUCCGGAAGAGGCGAGUGGAAUUCCUGGUGUAGCGGUGAAAUACGCAGAUAUCAGGAGGAACACCAAUGGCGAAGGCAGCUCGCUGGGACGGUACUGACGCUGAGACGCGAAAGCGUGGGGAGCAAACAGG
rnacentral:rRNA from 1 species